rfam:Octopus bimaculoides Scaffold25716_contig_70, whole genome shotgun sequence.
UAAAAGGUUCUCUUCAGGACCACCAACUAUAAAUUAUCACUGGAUUU